rnacentral:rRNA from 1 species
AGCAGCCGCGGUAAUUCCAGCUCCAAUAGCGUAUAUUAAAGUUGUUGCAGUUAAAAAGCUCGUAGUUGAAUUUCGGGGUUAGCAGGUCGGUCGUGCCAAUGGUAUGCACUGGCUCGCUGACUCCUCCUUCUUGUAGAACCGUAAUGCCAUUAAUUUGGUGUUGCGGGGAAACAGGACUGUUACUUUGAAAAAUUAGAGUGUUUAAAGCAGGCUAGCGCCUGAAUACAUUAGCAUGGAAUAAUGAAAUAGGACGUUCGAACCUAUUUUGUUGGUUUCUAGGAUUGACGUAAUGAUUAAUAGGGAUAGUUGGGGGCAUUAGUAUUCAAUUGUCAGAGUGAAAUUCUUGGAUUUAUUGAAGACUGACUACUGCGAAAGCAUUUGCCAAGGAUGUUUCAUUAAUCAAGAACGAAAGUUAGGGAUCGAAGACGAUCAGAUACCGUCGUAGUCUUAACCAUAAACUAUG